rnacentral:rRNA from 1 species
AUGAACGCUGGCGGCGUGCCUAAUACCUGCAGGUCGAGCGAACAGAUAAGGAGCUUGCUCCUUUGACGUUAGCGGCGGACGGGUGAGUAACACGUGGGUAACCUACCUAUAAGACUGGGAUAACUUCGGGAAACCGGAGCUAAUACCGGAUAACAUUUGGAACCGCAUGGUUCUAAAGUGAAAGAUGGUUUUGCUAUCACUUAUAGAUGGACCCGCGCCGUAUUAGCUAGUUGGUAAGGUAACGGCUUACCAAGGCGACGAUACGUAGCCGACCUGAGAGGGUGAUCGGCCACACUGGAACUGAGACACGGUCCAGACUCCUACGGGAGGCAGCAGUAGGGAAUCUUCCGCAAUGGGCGAAAGCCUGACGGAGCAACGCCGCGUGAGUGAUGAAGGGUUUCGGCUCGUAAAACUCUGUUAUUAGGGAAGAACAAAUGUGUAAGUAACUGUGCACGUCUUGACGGUACCUAAUCAGAAAGCCACGGCUAACUACGUG